rnacentral:rRNA from 1 species
CUGCGAACGGCUCAUUAAAUCAGUUAUCGUUUAUUUGAUAGUACCUUACUACUUGGAUAACCGUGGUAAUUCUAGAGCUAAUACAUGCUAAAAAUCCCGACCUCUGGAAGGGAUGUAUUUAUUAGAUAAAAAACCAAUGCCCAUUUCGGGCUUCUUGGUGAUUCAUGAUAACUUUACGAAUCGCAUGGCCUUGUGCCGGCGAUGGUUCAUUCAAAUUUCUGCCCUAUCAACUUUCGAUGGUAGGAUAGUGGCCUACCAUGGUUUCAACGGGUAACGGGGAAUUAGGGUUCGAUUCCGGAGAGGGAGCCUGAGAAACGGCUACCACAUCCAAGGAAGGCAGCAGGCGCGCAAAUUACCCAAUCCCGACACGGGGAGGUAGUGACAAUAAAUACUGAUACAGGGCCUUUUUGGGUCUUGUAAUUGGAAUGAGUACAAUUUAAAUCCUUUAACGAGGAACAAUUGGAGGGCAAGUCUGGUGCCAGCAGCCGCGGUAAUUCCAGCUCCAAUAGCGUAUAUUAAAGUUGUUGCAGUUAAAAAGCUCGUAGUUGAACCUUGGGUCUGGGUGACCGGUCUGCGUCACCGCAUGUUACUGGAACCCCGGAUCUUUCCUUCUGGAGAACCGCAUGCCCUUUACUGGGUGUGCUGGGAAACCAGGACUUUUACUUUGAAAAAAUUAGAGUGUUCAAAGCAGGCAUGUGCUCGAAUACAUUAGCAUGGAAUAAUAGAAUAGGACGUGCGGUCCUAUUUUGUUGGUUUCUAGGACCGCCGUAAUGAUUAAUAGGGAUAGUCGGGGGCAUCCGUAUUCGAUUGUCA